rnacentral:lncRNA from 10 species
ACCUUUAUAUACAGUUGACCACGUGGGGCUGAUGAAAUUAUUCAUUAUAUUCUCAACUUUGGUGAUGUUUUAAGGUUGUUGAACAAAAACACAACUUAAUAGCCAUUUUAAACAUUUAAAAGAUGGUAAUGUUUUGGCAUAUUGGUUGCAGUAAUGGACUAACCAUAGCCAUUGUUUUUAUUACUUUUUAGGUGUUACUUUCAGUGAAACAGUGAUCUUACUAUAAUUUUAACUGGCAUAAGAUUCUUCUUUUUUAGUGGGAGAAUAGGUGUGAACAGGCUGUGUAGGUCGAGCCGACAGAUCACUUGAGCCCAGGAUUUUGAGACCAGCCUGGGCAACAUGGCAAAACCACAUCUCUACUAAAAAUGCAAAAAUUAGCCAGCUGCAUUGGCGUUUUUCUCUUAUAUUCUAAACAUAUAUACAUUUUAAAAAGUUAUUUGACUUCUUUUUACAUUGCUUCAUUGAAUAUCUUUCUUAAUAAGUUCACACUGGCUGCUUUAACCUUUUCAUAAAAAGAGGUUUUUAUUGUUCAGAUUGCUUUUCCCACACAAUUAGUCUUAAGUAGUGCAGUUUUAUAGAUCUUAAUGAAUAAAUGUACCCUAAAU